GGCUACAAACUGUAGGGCUCCAACUACCUGAUGAUCUGGAAAAGGGACUUCCUUUGGGCGGCUUGGAGCAGACAGCACCCAGCUCUGCAGACCUGAGCACCCCAUGUGCCCCAAGUGACAUGGAGCAGAACCCGGGGACCCCGGCUGUCUGCCCUCCACCCUGGGCGAGCUCCGGAUGCCGCAGGAAAAGACGAGAAUCCAGCACAGUUCCUCUUCUGCACCUCACAUCCCAAUAAAAUAUUUAUUAUUUCAAGAAAUAAAUCUUUAAAAAAAAGAGAGAAAAA
ensembl:lncRNA novel transcript